rnacentral:rRNA from 1 species
GACGAACGCUGGCGGCGUGCUUAACACAUGCAAGUCGAACGAAGUGGCGAAUGGGUGAGUAAUACGUGGGUAACCGGCCGUGCGUUUUGGGAUAAGCCUUGGAUACGGGGUCUAAUACAGCAUAAAGGGGGCUGGGCUCGCGGCUUCUCAGUUUGUUGGUGGGGUGAUGGCCGACCAAGGCGGUGACGUGUAGCCGGCCUGAGAGGGUGACCGUCCGCAGGGGGGCUGGGAUACGGCCCAGACUCCUACGGGAGGCAGCAGUGGGGGAUAGUGCACCAUGGGCGAAAGGCUGAAGCAGGGACGCCGCGUGGGUGAUGAAGGCUUUCGGGGUGUAAGCCUCUUUCGCUAUCGAGUGGGUAGGUGGAGAAGAAGCGCCGGCUAACUACGGGCCAGCGGCCGCGGAAAAC